GCGGGCGUAGCUCAGUUGGUAGAGCAUCAGCUUCCCAAGCUGAGGGUCGCGGGUUCGAGUCCCGUCGCCCGCU
rnacentral:tRNA from 1 species